UUUGGGCAUGGACGAGAGUCUGACCCAGGCCAUGACCGCGUGCAGGAAGACGGCGUUCUGCGUUGUAAACUGCUUUUAUCUGGGAAGAAAAGGCCCAUGCGUGGGACAUUGCCGGUACCAGAUGAAUAAGCACCGGCUAACUCCGUGCCAGCAGCCGCGGUAAUACGGAGGGUGCAAGCGUUGUCCGGAUUUAUUGGGUUUAAAGGGUGCGUAGGCGGCUAUUUAAGUCAGUGGUGAAAGACUCCGGCUCAACCGGAGCAGUGCCAUUGAUACUGGAUAGCUUGAGUAUUGGAGAGGUACAUGGAAUUGAUGGUGUAGCGGUGAAAUGCAUAGAUACCAUCAGGAACACCGAUAGCGAAGGCAUUGUACUGGCCAAUAACUGACGCUGAUGCACGAAAGCAUGGGGAGCGAACAGGAUUAGAUACCCUGGUAGUCCAUGCCGUAAACGAUGAUUACUCGCUGUUAUGGCUUUAUGUUGUAGCGGCCAAGCGAAAGCGUUAAGUAAUCCACCUGGGGAGUACGCCCGCAAGGGUGAAACUCAAAGGAAUUUGACGGG
rnacentral:rRNA from 1 species